ensembl:misc_RNA 7SK 7SK RNA
GGAUGUGAGGGUGAUCUGGUUGCAAGAUCUAUCAUCCUCUUGUCACUCAUGGUCAUCCCAUUGAUCAUCCCACUGGCCACCAUUGAUGAGUUAAUUCAGCUGAAUUGGCUAGUUAACAGGUAUCUCUUUCCUCCCUAACCACUUCAUGUGUUUCCCACCUGACUGAAGAGGACAACCUUUCCUAAAUAGAGAUGGUUGGUUCAGGGUAUAUGAGUAACUGUUUUUCCUUAUAGAACCUUCAAACAAGUUCUCAAGGAAAUUAUUAUCUUGAUGUGGAGAUUACAUUAUAUGAAACAUUUUUAAAUUUUGAGGCAGUGCAACUC